rnacentral:rRNA from 1 species
GCGGGACCGGAGGAAUCCUGCAUGAACCAGCCAGCACCAUCUGGUAAGGCUAAAUACUCCUCAGACACCGAUAGUGAACCAGUACCGUAAGGGAAAGGUGAAAAGUACCCCGAAUAGGGGAGUGAAAUAGUACCUGAAACCGUGCGCUUACAAGCGGUCGGAGCUCUCAAGAGUGACGGCGUGCCUUUUGCAUAAUGAGCCUACGAGUUGCUCCUAACUGGCGAGGUUAAGUUCUUCAGUAACGGAG